CAUGCAAGUAUCUGCUAACCAGUGAGAAUGCCCUUCUACUCGCCAACGUCGGCGACCUUAAGGAGCGGGUAUCAAGCACACCAUUAGUAGCACAAGACACCUUGCCCAGCCACGCCCCCACGGGAUACAGCAGUGAUAAAAAUUAAGCAAUAAACGAAAGUUUGACUAAGCUAUACUGACACAGGGUUGGUCAAUCUCGUGCCAGCCACCGCGGUCAUACGAUUGACCCGAAUUAAUGACAAAACGGCGUAAAGUGUGGUUAAACAAACUCAGCAGAUAAAGUUAAACUAGGUCUCGGCUGUAAAAAGCUAAAGACCUAAGGCUACUAGAUUACUAACGUAACUUUACCCUAAGUGAACCCACGAUAGCUAAGACACAAACUGGGAUUAGAUACCCCACUAUGCUUAGCCGUAAACUUUGAUAAUUAGUAACAAAAAUAUCCGCCAGAGAACUACAAGCCAAUGCUUAAAACUCAAAGGACUUGGCGGUGCUUUAUACCCCCUAGAGGAGCCUGUUACGUAAUCGAUAAACCCCGAUAAACCCUACCAUCACUUGCUAAAACAGUCUAUAUACCGCCAUCUUCAGCGAACCCUUAAAAGGAGUAACAGUAAGCUCAAGCGUAUUCACAAAAACGUUAGGUCAAGGUGUAACCUAUGUGAUGGACCAUAAUGGGCUACAUUUUCUAUACAAGAACAAUUACGAACUCUCGCAUGAAAUCAGCAAGAUAAAGGAGGAUUUAGCAGUAAGUCAGGAAUAGAGAGCCUGACUGAAUCUGGCCAUGAAGCACGCACACACCGCCCGUCACCCUCCUCGAGUAUUUCAGACUUUAAACCAUAUUUAGAUGCAACGAAUAUGAGAGGAGACAAGUCGUAACAAGGUAAGCAUACUGGAAAGUGUGCUUGGAAUAUUCAAAGUGUAGCUUAAGUUAAAGCACCUGGCCUACGCCCAGGAGAUUUCAUCAUUAUGACCACUUUGAACCAGUCCUAGCCCUAAAAUAAAAAAACUAAACAACAUUUUACCCUAAGACAAAUCAUUUAGCAAGUGGAGUAUAGGAGAUAGAAAUACUACCCUAGGAGCGAUAGACAAAGUACCGUAAGGGAAAGAUGAAAGAUACCUCACAGUGAAAUACAGCAGAGAUUUACCCUCGUACCUUUUGCAUAAUGGGUUAACUAGAAACCUUUUGACAAAGUGACCUAAAGCCAACGUCCCCGAAACCAGACGAGCUACUUGUGAACAAUUGACCCGAAUGAACUCUUCUAUGUGGCAAAAUAGUGAGACGAUUUACAAGUAGAGGUGAAAAGCCUACCGAGCCUGGAGAUAGCUGGUUGUCCAAAAAAAGAAUCUAAGUUCAACUUAAAGGCCUGCCCACAAAGAAUCCCAACUACUAUGCAGACUUUAAAGUAAUUCAAUAGAGGUACAGCUCUAUUGAACAAGGAUACAACCUGGAAAGGAGAGUAAUUGCACCUAAGCCCAUAGUUGGCCUAAAAGCAGCCACCCAUUAAGAAAGCGUUAAAGCUCAACCUUAACACUUCCUUCCAAUUCCACGAAUAAGCAACCAUCUCCCUAAUGCCUAUUGGACUACUCUAUUAAUCAAUAGAAGAAAUACUGUUAACAUAAGUAACAAGAAUUUAUUCUCCGUGCGCACGUUUAUAUCAGAACGGAUGCCCACUGAUAGUUAACGACUUAGUAACUAUAACCCACAGAUAAACACGUUACUCAACCAGCCCGUUAAUCCAACACAGGAGCGCAGCCCGGAAAGAUUAAAAGAGGAAGAAGGAACUCGGCAAGCACGAACUCCGCCUGUUUACCAAAAACAUCACCUCUAGCAUUACUAGUAUUAGAGGCACUGCCUGCCCGGUGACAUUAGUUAAACGGCCGCGGUACUCUGACCGUGCAAAGGUAGCAUAAUCACUUGUUCUUUAAUUAAGGACUAGUAUGAACGGCAAGACGAGAAUUCAACUGUCUCCUUCCUCCAAUCAGUGAAAUUGUCCUUCCCGUGAAGAGACGGGGAUUAAACUAUAAGACGAGAAGACCCUAUGGAGCUUUAAU
rnacentral:ncRNA from 1 species